AGUGUGUGUGUUAGUGGAAGCGUCUGGAAAGGCGCGCGAUACAGGGUGACAGCCCCGUACACAAAAAUGCACAUACUGUGAGCUCGAUGAGUAGGGCGGGACACGUGGUAUCCUGUCUGAAUAUGGGGGGACCAUCCUCCAAGGCUAAAUACUCCUGACUGACCGAUAGUGAACCAGUACCGUGAGGGAAAGGCGAAAAGAACCCCGGCGAGGGGAGUGAAAAAGAACCUGAAACCGUGUACGUACAAGCAGUGGGAGCACGCUUAGGCGUGUGACUGCGUACCUUUUGUAUAAUGGGUCAGCGACUUAUAUUCUGUAGCAAGGUUAACCGAAUAGGGGAGCCGAAGGGAAACCGAGUCUUAACUGGGCGUUAAGUUGCAGGGUAUAGACCCGAAACCCGGUGAUCUAGCCAUGGGCAGGUUGAAGGUUGGGUAACACUAACUGGAGGACCGAACCGACUAAUGUUGAAAAAUUAGCGGAUGACUUGUGGCUGGGGGUGAAAGGCCAAUCAAACCGGGAGAUAGCUGGUUCUCCCCGAAAGCUAUUUAGGUAGCGCCUCGUGAAUUCAUCUCCGGGGGUAGAGCACUGUUUCGGCAAGGGGGUCAUCCCGACUUACCAACCCGAUGCAAACUGCGAAUACCGGAGAAUGUUAUCACGGGAGACACACGGCGGGUGCUAACGUCCGUCGUGAAGAGGGAAACAACCCAGACCGCCAGCUAAGGUCCCAAAGUCAUGGUUAAGUGGGAAACGAUGUGGGAAGGCCCAGACAGCCAGGAUGUUGGCUUAGAAGCAGCCAUCAUUUAAAGAAAGCGUAAUAGCUCACUGGUCGAGUCGGCCUGCGCGGAAGAUGUAACGGGGCUAAACCAUGCACCGAAGCUGCGGCAGCGACGCUUAUGCGUUGUUGGGUA
rnacentral:rRNA from 1 species